CCUACGGGGGGCUGCAGUGGGGAAUAUUGCACAAUGGGCGCAAGCCUGAUGCAGCCAUGCCGCGUGUGUGAAGAAGGCCUUCGGGUUGUAAAGCACUUUCAGCGGGGAGGAAGGCGGUGAGGUUAAUAACCUCAUCGAUUGACGUUACCCGCAGAAGAAGCACCGGCUAACUCCGUGCCAGCAGCCGCGGUAAUACGGAGGGUGCAAGCGUUAAUCGGAAUUACUGGGCGUAAAGCGCACGCAGGCGGUCUGUCAAGUCGGAUGUGAAAUCCCCGGGCUCAACCUGGGAACUGCAUUCGAAACUGGCAGGCUAGAGUCGUGUAGAGGGGGGUAGAAUUCCAGGUGUAGGGGUGAAAUGCGUAGAGAUCUGGAGGAAUACCGGUGGCGAAGGCGGCCCCCUGGACAAAGACUGACGCUCAGGUGCGAAAGCGUGGGGAGCAAACAGGAUUAGAUACCCUAGUAGUC
rnacentral:rRNA from 1 species